rnacentral:rRNA from 1 species
UACGAGUGCCCAGCCGUUAUCCGGAAUCAUUGGGUCGUAAAGGGUGUGUAGGUGGCAGUGUUAGUCUGCAGUUAAAGCCCCGGGGCUUAACCCCGGAUCUGCUUGCAGAAACGGCACAGCUAGAGGAUGGCAGGGGAUGUAUGGAACUCAUGGAGUAGGGUGAAAUCCGUUGAUAUCAUGGGGAACACCAAAGCGAAGGCAGUACAUUG